GCCCGGAUGGCGGAAUUGGCAGACGCGCUUGACUCAAAAUCAAGUAUCGAAAGGUGUGUGGGUUCGACCCCCUCUCCGGGUACCA
rnacentral:tRNA from 1 species